AUUGAACGCUGGCGGCAGGCCUAACACAUGCAAGUCGAACGGGUGGCGGACGGGUGAGUAAUGUCUGGGAAACUGCCCGAUGGAGGGGGAUAACUAAUGGAACCGGUAGCUAAUACCGCAUACCAUCGGAUGUGCCCAGAUGGGAUUAGGUAGUAGGUGGGGUAACGGCUCACCUAGGCGACGAUCCCUAGCUGGUCUGAGAGGAUGAUCAGCCACACUGGAACUGAGACACGGUCCAGACUCCUACGGGAGGCAGCAGUGGGGAAUAUUGCACAAUGGGCGAAAGCCUGAUCCAGCCAUGCCGCGUGUAUGAAGAAGGUCUUCGGGUUGUAAAGCACUUUCAGCGAGGAGGCGUUACUCGCAGAAGAAGCACCGGCUAACUCCGUGCCAGCAGCCGCGGUAAUAC
rnacentral:rRNA from 1 species